AGAGUUUGAUCCUUGGCUCAGAACGAACGCUGGCGGCGUGCUUAACACAUGCAAGUCGAACGAGAAAGCUCUUCGGAGUGAGUAGAGUGGCGCACGGGUGAGUAAUGGAUAGGAACGUACCUUCAGGAGGGGGAUAACCAUUGGAAACGAUGGCUAAUACCGCGUGGUAUCGCAAGAUUAAAGGUGGCCUCUGUAUAUGCUACCGCCUGAAGAUCGGCCUAUCUCCCAUUAGCUAGUUGGUAGGGUAAUGGCCUACCAAGGCUACGAUGGGUAGCUGGUCUGAGAGGAUGAUCAGCCACACUGGGACUGAGACACGGCCCAGACUCCUACGGGAGGCAGCAGUGGGGAAUAUUGCACAAUGGGCGAAAGCCUGAUGCAGCAACGCCGCGUGAGUGAAGAAGGAAUUUUUUUCGUAAAGCUCUAUCAGCAGGGAAGAAGGUAGUUUGGGUGAAUAAUCCGAAUUAUUGACGGUACCUGACUAAGAAGCACUGGCUAACUCCGUGCCAGCAGCCGCGGUAAUACGGGGGGUGCAAGCGUUGUUCGGAUUGACUGGGCGUAAAGAGCGCGUAGGCGGAUUUGUAAGUCGAAUGUGAAACCCAGGGCUCACCCUGGAANUGCAUUCGAACUCAUUCUUUGAAUCCCAAGGGGUGGUGGAAUUCAGGUGUACAGUGAACGCGUAAAUUCUGGAGGACCCAGAAGCCAAGCGGCCACUGGUGGUGNAUGCCCUUAAGCNCNAANNUGGNGCAACAGGAUUAAUCCCUGGAGNCAGCCGNACAANGAUCUAGGGUCGGAGGUAC
rnacentral:rRNA from 1 species